AUACUUUGGGGCAGUGAAUUUCUAAAACCAAAAAAAAA
rnacentral:sRNA from 1 species